UUGGAGGUGGACGAAUUUACGUUUCCACCCGUCUGCGACAAGAAACGUCGAAGACAAGUUCGUUAAAUAAGUUGGGUUCAGUUCAAAAUUGUGUGUUCUGUAGGUGCAACAAAAAAUUUGGAACUGAAAACACUUACUGAGGGGACAUAUGGGUCCAUGUUGUGAGCUCACAAGCUGUAUUCCGGCAAGCAGGUUCGUCGUCGUCUACCGCCUAACACGAGUCCGUAUUUGACGGGGAAAAAAACUCUCAGACAAUAGGAUUUGACGGGGGAAAAAUUCCUUCUUUGUGCUGCCAAAGCGCUAAUUGAAGGAAAAAAAUAUUUACGACUAGAUCUGGAAGUUCAUCGUCGGGUGUUUGUAGGGAGAGAAAUAUCCGAAAUGUGAGGUGCCGGUGCAAGGAAAAGGGGGAGAGAAUCUUGGCAGUUGAGAGUGUGUAAUGACGGGGGUAAUAUUGGAAAAAUGAGAGUAAAUGGCCUGUUGUUGUACUGCAAAGAUGUCAGAAUAUUUUCAUUAAAAAAUUGUCCAACGGUGCAAUUUUUGAUCAGCAACGGUCCAAAUUCAGCUUAAAAUCACAGCCAGACAGGGCCUA
rnacentral:lncRNA from 1 species